CAAGUAAGUGAUUCCGUGAGUAGUGGCGAGCGAAAGCGGAGGAUGGCUAAACCGUGUGCAUGUGAUACCCGGCAGGGGUUGUGUGUGCGGUGUUGUGGGGUUCGUCUUCUCAGAUCUGCCGGUCUGGGCAACAGUGAGAAAGGUUCGUGUUAGUCGAAGUGGCCUGGGAUGGUCUGCCGUAGCGGGUGAGAGCCCCGUAGACGAAAACAUGUUCCCUGUUGUGGCGUGUCCCCGAGUAGCAGCGGGCCCGUGGAAUCUGCUGUGAAUCUGCCGGGACCACCCGGUAAGCCUGAAUACUUCCCAGUGACCGAUAGCGGAUUAGUACCGUGAGGGAAUGGUGAAAAGUACCCCGGGAGGGGAGUGAAAGAGUACCUGAAACCGUGCGCUUACAAUCCGUCAGAG
rnacentral:rRNA from 1 species